GAUGAACGCUGGCGGCGUGCCUAACACAUGCAAGUCGAACGGAGUCGUUUUGGAAAUCUCUUCGGAGAUGGAAUUCUCGACUUAGUGGCGGACGGGUGAGUAACGCGUGAGCAAUCUGCCUCUAAGAGGGGGAUAACAGUCGGAAACGGCUGCUAAUACCGCAUAAAGCAUUAAAUUCGCAUGUUUUUGAUGCCAAAGGAGCAAUCCGCUUUUAGAUGAGCUCGCGUCUGAUUAGCUAGUUGGCGGGGUAACGGCCCACCAAGGCGACGAACAGUAGCCGGACUGCGGGGUGGAACGGACACAUUGGGACUGAGACACGGCCAGGACUCGUACGGGAAGGAGCAGUGGGAAAUAUUGCGCAAUGGGGGGAACACGGACGCAGCAGCGGCGCGUAAUUAAAGAAGGCAUUCGGGUUGUAAAGAUCUUUAGUCAGGGACGAAGGAAAUGACGGUAACUGAAGAAUAAGCUGCGGCUGACUACGUG
rnacentral:rRNA from 1 species